AUCCAAAAUAAAUAUGAGAACUAUAUCCGAAUAUCAAAUUCAUCAGUAUAUCUAAAGACAAAUAGAAAUAAAUUUCCCCUUAUCUGCAGUGAAGUAGCCAUUGGCUACCAAAUUGGUUGAGCAGAAAGGGAGAGAAACUAUGGCGUCAGCUCAUACACAAGCGCUCACAGUUAUGUAAAAGAGCGAUGGUAAUCAGUAUAUGACGCAAAACAUUUAACCAGACAAAGCUAAACCCAUCAAAACAAGCCCCCCAAACCCAAUUUUCU
rnacentral:lncRNA from 1 species